CGCUGGCGGCGUGCCUAAUACAUGCAAGUCGAACGGUCUUUCUAUGGAAGCUUGCUUCCACUGAGAAGAUAGUGGCGGACGGGUGAGUAACACGUGGGUAACCUGCCCAUAAGAGGGGGAUAACAUCCGGAAACGGGUGCUAAUACCGCAUAGUUUUCUUGAUCGCAUGAUUGAGAAAGGAAAGACGGCCUUUGUGCUGUCGCUUAUGGAUGGACCCGCGGCGUAUUAGUUAGUUGGUGAGGUAAUGGCUCACCAAGACGAUGAUACGUAGCCGACCUGAGAGGGUGAUCGGCCACAUUGGGACUGAGACACGGCCCAAACUCCUACGGGAGGCAGCAGUAGGGAAUCUUCCGCAAUGGACGAAAGUCUGACGGAGCAACGCCGCGUGAGUGAAGAAAGGUUUUCGGAUCGUAAAACUCUGUUGUCAGAGAGGAACAAGUUGGAGAGUAACUGCUCCAGCCUUGACGGUAUCUGACCAGAAAGCCACGGCUAACUACGUGCCAGCCGCCGC
rnacentral:rRNA from 1 species